ACUCUUGCAUGGCCCCACUAGGCUUCUGAUGCUCUAUCUUAACUUGCUGACAUGUAGAUCACUUAGCCACAAACUUUGCAGCAUCUCUCUUCAUCCCACUCCUCUAAUAAAUCUCCCACAAGCGACAGUACAUCUUUGUAGUCCCUGGGUGAAUAGAGUAGCGCACACCAUUCACUUCUACAAGAAUUCAUUGGCUCAAGUCAUCUACACCUAAAGCACACAGAUAACCCUAACAACGUAGGACACCAUCUCCUCCUUGGGAGAAAACCUCUACUUUUUGAACCUUAACUGACUCCAUUAACUUGAAAAGGUUGGGAUCUCUAUCUUGCUUUUCU
rnacentral:lncRNA from 1 species